rnacentral:rRNA from 1 species
UACGGAGGGUGCAAGCGUUAUCCGGAUUCACUGGGUUUAAAGGGUGCGUAGGCGGGUAGGUAAGGCAGUGGGGAAAUCUCCAAGCUUAACUUGGAAACUGCCGUUGAUACUAUCUAUCUUGAAUAUCGUGGAGGUGAGCGGAAUAUGUCAUGUAGCGGUGAAAUGCUUAGAGAUGACAUAGAACACCAAUUGCGAAGGCAGCUCACUACUCGAUCAUUGACGCUGAGGCACGAAAGCGUGGGGAUCAAACAGG